rnacentral:rRNA from 1 species
AUUGAACGCUGGCGGAAUGCUUUACACAUGCAAGUCGAACGGCAGCACGGACUUCGGUCUGGUGGCGAGUGGCGAACGGGUGAGUAACAUAUCGGAACGUAUCCAAUAAUGGGGGAUAACUAAUCGAAAGGUUGGCUAAUACCGCAUACGCCCUACGGGGGAAAGCAGGGGAUCUUCGGACCUUGCGUUAAUGGAGCGGCUGAUAUCUGAUUAGCUAGUUGGUGAGGUAAAGGCUCACCAAGGCGACGAUCAGUAGCUGGUCUGAGAGGACGACCAGCCACACUGGAACUGAGACACGGUCCAGACUCCUACGGGAGGCAGCAGUGGGGAAUUUUGGACAAUGGGCGCAAGCCUGAUCCAGCCAUUCCGCGUGAGUGAAGAAGGCCUUCGGGUUGUAAAGCUCUUUCGCAAGGGAAGAAAACUUACUUUCUAAUAAAGAGUGAGGUUGACGGUACCUUGAUAAGAAGCACCGGCUAACUACGUGCCAGCAGCCGCAGUAA